rnacentral:SRP_RNA from 1 species
CCUGGCUUAUUGCUGUAACUCUUGAGGCACGAGUGUGAACAUGAGGGUUUGUAUUGGGUCGGCGGUGCUCGGCGGCGCCUGUCUGCUAAAAUUCUGAGUCGGUUGCGCGCUUUUGUGUAAGCUUUAGAUCGCGACUGCUACGGCUAGGCGGACCGCUCCAGGCUGGCAACAGAGCAGGGAAUAGCUGACGCUCAGACUGACUAGCAAGACUGCAGAUGUAGCUUGAACCCGCUUCGACUUGAACUACAUUGUACCCACCAGGACAUGCUCG